rnacentral:tRNA from 2 species
UCCAGAGUAGCUCAAUGGUAGAGCAAUCGGCUGUUAACCGAUCGGUUGUUGGUUCGAGUCCAACCUCUGGAGCCA